AACGAACGCUGGCGGCAUGCCUAACACAUGCAAGUCGAACGAGACCUUCGGGUCUAGUGGCGCACGGGUGCGUAACGCGUGGGAAUCUGCCCCUCGGUUCGGAAUAACACAGAGAAAUUUGUGCUAAUACCGGAUAAUGACUUCGGUCCAAAGAUUUAUCGCCGAGGGAUGAGCCCGCGUAAGAUUAGCUUGUUGGUGGGGUAAUGGCCUACCAAGGCGACGAUCUUUAGCUGGUCUGAGAGGAUGAUCAGCCACACUGGGACUGAGACACGGCCCAGACUCCUACGGGAGGCAGCAGUGGGGAAUAUUGGACAAUGGGCGAAAGCCUGAUCCAGCAAUGCCGCGUGAGUGAUGAAGGCCUUAGGGUUGUAAAGCUCUUUUACCAGGGAUGAUAAUGACAGUACCUGGAGAAUAAGCUCCGGCUAACUCCGUGCCAGCAGCCGCGGUAAU
rnacentral:rRNA from 1 species